CUUCAUGCCCAGUGCAGAGCCCAGCGCACAUGCCGAGAUCAGGACCCUGAGAUCAAGACCACUGCUUAAUCCCCCGGGCCACCUAGGUAUGUUGCUAUUAGGCAUAUUUUAUUUUAUUUUAUUUUUUGUUUUUAUUAUUAUUUUAAAAAUCAAAACUGGAAUUUUUUUUUUUUUCAAAUUUAAAUAGAGCUUGAUUUAAGCCUAAGGACAGAAUGUCUUGAUAAACAUCAAAAAAGAAGAGUUUUUAUAUUUUAUCUUUAUAUAUAAGUUCUAUAUAUAUCUAUAUAUAUAAGUUCUAGACAACUUAUUUAUUUUUGACAGAGAAAGACAGAGCGUGAGUCGGGGAGGGGCAGAGAGAGAGGGAGACACAGAAUCCAAAGCAGGCUCCAGGCUCUGAGCUGUCAGCACAGAGCCCGACGGAGGGCUUGAACUCACGGACCGUGAGAUCAUGACCUGAGCUGAAGUUGGACACUCAGCCGACUGAGCCACCCAGGCACCCCUAUGUUUUAUCUUUAAAAACAAGAAUGUAAAAGGUCGGUACACUUGAGAAUUUUGGUAUGACAUGGGAGUCUUUUGGACACACAGAAUACAAAGGCAUAUUUUAUUUUAUUUUAUUUACUUUUUAAAUCUUUGUUUAUUUUUGAGAGAGAGAGAGAAAGAGAGUGCGAGCGGGGGAGGAACAGAGAGAGAGGGAGACACAGAACCUGAAGCAGGUCCCAGGCUCCAAGCUGCCAGCACAGAGCCCGAUGCGGGGUUCAAACUCACGAACCGUGAGAUCAUGACCUGAGCUGAAGUUGGACACUUAACCGACUGAGCCACCCAAGUGCCCCACAAAGGCAUAUUUUAAACUGACUCUUUUUCUUUCCUUCUUUGAAGGUUCUGGUAUCUUAACUAUUUCAUGGUUUUUGGACUAUUCUCUUUGCUUCCAAGUUCUAUUUCUCUUUGAGAACUCCAGACUAUGCUGGCUAAUUGUGGUGGAGAGGCAGUGGGGCCGAAAGGAUCUUAUUUGUUUAAACAUCCUUUAAUUCACAGAAAUUUUAGCUUCAAACAAAUAUAUUUGCACUGUUAUUCUUUCUGUCACCAAAUACCAAACACAUUAAAGCAAAAUAUUCAGAUGCAAUUCUUCACAUUUUAGCAACAAAAGAGGAAUGGUUUUUAUUAGGUAUUUUUAAAUAAAAGUUUGUUUGGAGUGUCCCUUUCCAAAUAGAUAAUCAUUUUGGAGACCCUGAAAUCUCUGAGCAUUAUUUUUAUUUCAACAUACUUUUUUAAAAAUUUUUUUUUUCAACGUUUAUUUAUUUUUGGGACAGAGAGAGACAGAGCAUGAACGGGGGAGGGGCAGAGAGAGAAGGAGACACAGAAUCGGAAACAGGCUCCAGGCUCCGAGCCAUCAGCCCAGAGCCUGACGCGGGGCUCGAACUCACGGACCGCGAGAUCGUGACCUGGCUGAAGUCGGACGCUCAACCGACUGCGCCACCCAGGCGCCCCUCAACAUACUUUUAAUGGUGUGUGAAUCACACCACUCUAAACUCCUUUUGAAGAAAAAUACUCUUACAAACAGAAGUUAUCUUCUAUGUUUAAAGGAAUUGCUUAUUGUUGUACAUAAUUUUGCACCUAUUCAGCGUCUACUACUUGAACAGGAACAUAGAUUUUUAAAUAUAAAUAGUUUGACUCACCUUGUAGAAAAUGAAUUUAGCCUGAGGACAGAGUAACAACAUUUUAAUAAUAUCCAGGUACUCAAAAGUGAAGCCUUCUACAGUAGAGGGUUAAUUUUAAUAUAACGGGCGCAUCCAGGGAAGAGGCCUUUUUUUUUUUUUAAAGUUUUCUUUCUUUUAUGUUUAUUUAUUCUGAGAGAGAGAAUGAGACAGCACAAGCGGGGGAGAGGGGCAGAAGGAGAGGGAGAGAAAAUCCCAAGCAGGCUCCACACUCAGCUCAGAGCCUGAUGCGGGGCUCAAUCUCACAACCACUGCAAGAUCAUGACCUGACUGAAAUUGAGAGUCAGAGGCUUAACCUCCUGAGUCAUCCCGGUGCCCCAGGAAAGAGGUCUUUUUAACCCAUUUUAAAAAAUUCAGGUGAGGGGCACCUGGGUGGCUCAGUCAAUUAAGUGUCCGACUUCGGCUCAGGUCGUAAUCUCACAGUUCGUGAGUUUGAGCCCCACAUUGGGCUCUGUGCUGACAGCUCAGAGCCUGCAGCCUGCUUUGGAUUCUGUAUCUCCCUCUCUCUCUGCCCCUCCCCCACCCAAAAUAAACACUAAAAAAAUUUUUUUUAAUAAAAUAAAAAAAUCCAGGUGAAAUCGACUUACCAUUAACAAUUUUAAAUAAACAGUUCAGUGGCAUUUAGUAUAUUCACAACCUCCACCUCUGUCCAGUUCCAAAACAUUCCCCAAAGGAAACUCCAUAUCCAUUAAGCAGUCGUUCCUCAUUUCCCCUCCUCUCAGCCCUGGCGACAACCAGAUGAGCUUCGGCCUCUUUGGAUUUACCUAUUUUGGACAUAUCAUGUAAAUUAAUCACACAAUACGUGACCUUUCGUGUCUGCCUGUUUUUCACCUACCAUAAUGUUUUUGUAGUUCAUCCACAUCGUAGCUUGGAUUUUUAAUAUGUUUAAUAUGGAUGGGAUUGCCUCCACUGGUGAAUACAGUUCCUUGAACCAUAUUUCUAGAAUGUUCCCUUCUAAGCGUAGAAGGCUUUAGUGAUGAUGCCUGGGAGUCUUUAUUAUUUUACCACAAUUAAAAAAUAAAUCUACAUAUUUUAUCAAGUAAUCUGAUAAAAGAAUUCCUGGCAUGUCCAGAAGGAGGAGAUUCUGAGCUUACAAAACAACCCACAGGGAUGGAUUUAGUUAUAGGGGUUGCAAGGCAGUGGAUAUUAUGGUCCUCCCUCCGGAAGAAAGGUGUUAUCAGACAGCUUCUGGAAAUGCUGGCAGCAGACAGCCCUCAGCUGUCAGCCCCCUUCCUGGACAACCUCAACCAAAGACAGUGGCCUCAGCCAAGGUCAUGUUCUCUUCCUCGGUGGCCCUCAUCCAGAGGAUGAUCAUCAUGAGGGUGUAAACCACCCUCUCAUACUUCCCCAUGAAGUCUCUGUAGGGCUGAGGUUUGGUCCUGCUCUCUUUCUUCCCCUUCUCUUCCACAGGUGCGGAUUCCAUGGGUGCUCCCUGCUAAACCUUGGUGACAUCCACUCAUUUUACUCCCUGAUGUGACUUCUCCAGAGAUGGGAGGCAUGUUAGCUGUCCAUCCUGGGUCACUUAAGGUGACUGAUAAUGCUGAGGUUGGCUCGAGAUACUGGCUUGUUUCAGAACUUGUCUGUUUUCUAAAAGGAAGACAGUGCCCUUCAGGUCUCUGUUGCAUUUGGGUAGCUCGUGAAUGGGCUCUUCAGAAAUUAAACAUAACUUCGUGCAAACUCUGGGUUCACUAAACAGCUCUUUUUCUGUUUUCAUGUAUUUAGUCAACGUAUUUGUUAAGUGCCUACUAUGGGUCUGCACUGUUCUAGAUGUUGUGAUACAGAAUAUCCUUCUAUGUUGAGUCCCUACCAUGGAUCUGCACUGUUGUAGACAGUGCAAAGAACAAAACAAAGUUCUUGUCUUCAUGGAUAAAACCCACAUUCUAGUUCACCAUUGUAUGCCCAGUACCUGGCUCAAUAAACACUUGUUGAACGACUAUAUGAACGACAUCUGCUUGACCUACGUUGUUACAAGCAGAUCUUUCCUGUGGAAUGCACUCAUGAUGUGCUGUUGUAGCUUAAGUAUUUUGGUUUUCUCAUUUUUCCUGCCCUGCAUGUGCCUUUGCCUCCAACUCUCAAGAAUUG
rnacentral:lncRNA from 1 species